AUUGAACGCUGGCGGCAUGCUUUACACAUGCAAGUCGAACGGUAACAGGGUGCUUGCACCGCUGACGAGUGGCGAACGGGUGAGUAAUGCGUCGGAACGUGCCGAGUAGUGGGGGAUAACGCAUCGAAAGGUGUGCUAAUACCGCAUACGUACUGAGGUAGAAAGUGGGGGACCUUCAGGCCUCACGCUAUUCGAGCGGCCGACGUCUGAUUAGCUAGUUGGUGAGGUAAAGGCUCACCAAGGCGACGAUCAGUAGCGGGUCUGAGAGGAUGAUCCGCCACACUGGGACUGAGACACGGCCCAGACUCCGACGGGAGGCAGCAGUGGGGAAUAUUGGACAAUGGGCGAAAGCCUGAUCCAGCCAUGCCGCGUGUGUGAAGAAGGUCUUCGGAUUGUAAAGCACUUUAAGUUGGGAGGAAGGGUUGUAGAUUAAUACUCUGCAAUUUUGACGUUACCGACAGAAUAAGCACCGGCUAACUCUGUGCCAGCAGCCGCCGUAAAAC
rnacentral:rRNA from 1 species